rnacentral:rRNA from 1 species
CGAACGCGCAGCGAAAGGUGCUUGCACCUUUCAAGCGAGUGGCGAACGGGUGAGUAACACGUGGAUAACCUGCCUCAAGGCUGGGGAUAACAUUUGGAAACAGAUGCUAAUACCGAAUAAAACUUAGUAUCGCAUGAUACAAAGUUGAAAGGCGCUACGGCGUCACCUAGAGAUGGGUCCGCGGUGCAUUAGUUAGUUGGUGGGGUAAAGGCCUACCAAGACAAUGAUGCAUAGCCGAGUUGAGAGACUGAUCGGCCACAUUGGGACUGAGACACGGCCCAAACUCCUACGGGAGGCUGCAGUAGGGAAUCUUCCACAAUGGGCGAAAGCCUGAUGGAGCAACGCCGCGUGUGUGAUGAAGGCUUUAGGGUCGUAAAGCACUGUUGUAUGGGAAGAAAUGCUAGAAUAGGGAAUGAUUCUAGUUCGACGGUACCAUACCAGAAAGGGACGGCUAAAUACGUGCCAGCAGCCGCGGUAAUACGUAUGUCCCGAGCGUUAUCCGGAUUUAUUGGGCGUAAAGCGAGCGCAGACGGUUGAUUAAGUCUGAUGUGAAAGCCCGGAGCUCAACUCCGGAAUGGCAUUGGAAACUGGUUAACUUGAGUGUUGUAGAGGUAAGUGGAACUCCAUGUGUAGCGGUGGAAUGCGUAGAUAUAUGGAAGAACACCAGUGGCGAAGGCGGCUUACUGGACAACAACUGACGUUGAGGCUCGAAAGUGUGGGUAGCAAACAGGAUUAGAUACCCUGGUAGUCCACACCGUAAACGAUGAAUACUAGGUGUUAGGAGGUUUCCGCCUCUUAGUGCCGAAGCUAACGCAUUAAGUAUUCCGCCUGGGGAGUACGACCGCAAGGUUGAAACUCAAGGAAUUGACGGGGACCCGCACAAGCGGUGGAGCAUGUGGUUUAAUUCGAAGCAACGCGAAGACCCUUACCAGGUCUUGACAUCCUUUGAAGCU